UGCGUAGGGGGGCAAGCGUUGUCCGGAAUCAUUGGGCGUAAAGAGCGUGUAGGCGGCCAGAUAAGUCCGCUGUGAAAUCUCGAGGCUCAACUUCGAGCUGUCGGUGGAAACUGUCUGGCUAGAGUCCGGAAGAGGAGAAUGGAAUUCCUGGUGUAGCGGUGAAAUGCGCAGAUAUCAGGAAGAACACCCGUGGCGAAGGCGGUUCUCUGGGACGGUACUGACGCUGAGACGCGAAAGCGUGGGGAGCGAACAGG
rnacentral:rRNA from 1 species